GGCUCGGCUGCUCCCUGGCCGCCCUUCGCCAAGGAAACGCGGGCGACCUCGUUUUACAGCCCGGCCUAGAAGCAGGAGUGCAGAGACGUUUAAGCGGGCAAGUCGUGAGCAAACACAGGGAGCCUCUGGGGAUUUGGGUCAGGGAGAGCCGGUAAACGCUUUACUCGAUCCUUUGUGAGUUAAACUAAAGCAUGGGAUUAGCAUCCAUUCUGCAGGUUUAAUGAAGUUUAAACUGAUGCAGCCUGCCUUUCGUUCGCUUGAACUUUCUGGAGUGCCCCAGGGUGGGGAACUUCAGAGGACGCCUGGCUGAAGUCACUCGAGCGGCCUCUGGCCGAGCCCGGACUGCCAAGCUCACCAGGGACUGCUGCUUCCCUUCCCUGCCUGCAGAGAAAACGUUCAUCUGUAGUUACUCGGACAGACCUAGCCUCAGUGUGCUUCCAGGGAAAACCAGGCGUUGUUCCUGACAAUAUGCAAAGUGUUAUUUAAAAUCGGCCUGAAAUUUGGGCUGUUUCAACAACCUUUUUAUAAAAACAAAGUACGAGCUCCACAUAGUAUUAAUUUUUAAAAGCUCGGCACUUGUGAAAGCAGCAUUCUUUAUGCCAAGAUUUUUUUACUCUCAUAGGACAGAGGUAACCAAAUCUAACAAAGCACGUGGAGCAAAAACUCAAGAUUUACCCAGUUAUUUGAGGAAUUAUCUCAUUUUACCUUCUAUUUUAAUAACAAACUGCUCUUCUCACUUCCUUGUAUUGAACAGGCUGAUCUCACCGGUAAGGUAUUUUUCCACUCAAGCAUCUGCCAGCCAACUUGGAGCAAGACUGCAGGACCAGGCCGGGUUCUUUUAUUGUAUAAGCAGUAAUUAAGAUCCCAGAUGUUGCUGCUCUGCACCUGUACAGCUUUAUUUUUGUCAGCAGGGCAGGCGCUGCUGUAACUGCAGCUGGAGCGUGACACAGCAGCAUUGCUUACUGCAUCGCUUACUGCAUUCUGCUGAUGUGACAGUUGCCUGCUUGUAAACUGUAGCCCUGUAUCAGAUGGUGUCACCGUUAGUAACAGGCCACCUGCUUUGCCACUGAGUUUGCAAGGCCUCAGCACUGAGUCAUGCCAGGCUUGCUUCAGCUGAACACUUGCUGACCUGCCUACAAGUUUGCCUUUAGCUUGGUUUAGCUCUAACAGCAUUUUUUCAUCUGACCACAUGGUUAUAGAUGUUUUGGUUUUACUUCUGCUUAUCCUUGUAUGGCACCACUGUAGUUGUGUACAGACAGGAGUAACGAGUACUUGUUCUGUGCAGAACAAGGUACUUACAACUGAAAUAAUGAUGUAGUGUGGAGAAAUACAGGCCUGGGAUGAUAGCAGAGGCCUUGGGAGGUGGAGACACAGGAUGCAGUGGGGAGGACUACAGGCACAAGAUGACAAAAGAUGAGGCACAGGCUUGGUACUGGAGGCUACGCAGCUAUAAACAAAUCAACAGUUGUUUUCUGUUAAAAAGAAAUACAGACCUAGAGUUAGACAGAACCACCUCUUUAUGGAUAACAGAACAAAGAAUAAGUUUCUAGUAUAUGCAAGAUACAUCAAAUAUGGUAGAUUUGGCUAUCACAUGAAAUUGCAAACCAGUGAUAAAGCAGCAAGAUGUGAAAGCCUGCUGGCAAAUGUAAAAAAGACCCCAAGUGGAUCCAGGAGUGACAAAGAUGCAGCAAUCAAUACCACAUUCCUCCCAGCAAAAGACCCCCAUGCGCUGGUGACCAGACUUAGCACCCCUACUGCCGGGCUGAAACCACCAACCUGAAGACCCUGAGAAGCAGCAGCAGGAUGAACGUUAACACCAGGAAAGAGAGAAGAAGCUAGAAACCAUUCUGAGGGUAGCGUGCUUUAAGCCUACUCUACAUUGUCGUGGUAGUACUCAAAGUGCACUGAGUUACAGAUGCCUGAUGAAGGUCCUUGCAUGUGGAGGAGGUUCCAGACUACAGCUCACUUUUCCUGAAGAAAAGACAGCCAAAAAAAUUUUAAGUAGUAAGAAGAGAAUUUAACAAGAUUUAAAAGUUGUCAUGGUAAUGUACUCUUACAUGUAAAUUAGUCUACGAAUUUAGGCAACUGAUACUAAGAGCUGCCAACUGUUUAAGGAUUAUUUUUUUUUUGUAGGAAAAAUUGCAAGUGUUGCGAUUAUUUGGUUUUUUUUUAUUUAAUUGUUUUAAAAAGUAUACGUUUCUUAUUGGCAGAACAGCAGAUUAUUUGCUGAAUUUAACUGAAGAUGUUUAUGUAUUUCUUUGAAAGAAUCUCUGUAUUCUUGUAAACCAACUCUUCCUGUCUCCUCACUUCUGUGGAUUUAUAUUUAUAUCCUGGGCAAACUUGGCACUCUGUGAUGUUAAAAAGCAUGUCUAAAAUUCAUACAAUCAUUUAGCUUUCCCAGUGAGGAGGGGGCAGGAAAGGAAUCAAAGAGGUUUUUGCAAUUAUUUCUACAAAUUGCAGUAACACCUUUAAAAUAAAGUUUAAAAUUAAUUAAA